rnacentral:lncRNA from 1 species
AAGAAUUCUAUUAACAAUAAUCAAAAUCCACAAUGGUGAAGAACUCCAAGAAGAAGAAAAUAAGACGUUGUGGCUUCGUUCUCCGUUGGACUCUCUUCCAAGGUGUAAACCCUAAUUGCUACUAUGAAAGUUACGUAAUAAAAGUCAAGUCCCCCUCUGACAUACGUCAGAAUUGCUUUAUACCAAUUACACAUCAUCACAUUGCUUAAUUAAAAAUAAAACAAAUUACAACAUCAGCAUCGCGUGCGGCCGCGCGUGGCUCUAGUGUAUCUGUCUCGCGGCCGCGAGACUUGCAGAAAGCUCAGUUCCCCCAGACAUCUUAUCGCGCAGUCGUGCACUUCUGCCUCGCGGGCGCGCGGUCAUGCCUCGCGGGCGCGUGACUUGCAGAAGGUUCCCUAUGUAAAGCCCUGCUUUCGCGCGGGCGCGCGAGUCUU